AACAUCCAAGCCUAGCAAGCGGCCUUUUUUCUUCGUAUGAGCCAUCAAUAAGUCUUGGAACAAGCUCAAAGGUUUCACGCACCUCAUCUACAAACACCAUGAAACAGUUGAGAAACUUCACUCAAUGAUUCAAACUACAUGCUUGGAAAAAUAAGCAGAGACCAAACAGGAAUAUCCAUCGAUUCAAGCAAGGCAGUGAUGUCAGAGAGAUGAACUCUCAUGAAGCAAAUCAAACACCCAUCAACAUAUCCAUCACUACCUACGAUUCGUAUCUUGAGUGAUACCCAAUAAGGUAAAACCAUAAACAAGUACUGGAAGCAGCAUAAGGAGCAGCUCUACGACUAGCUAGCGGUAGCAUCCGCAUAGCUGUCACGGGUCAAUGCUAAAGCCCGUAGCUUGCAUGAGCAAUGAGCUCCAGCGAUGACACAAGCUUAUGCGGCACGGUGAUCUGACUACUUUGAUAUAAAAAGCAAAUGAACGUACGCCCGGGAGACAGAAUGUAGUGGACACCUGUCUCGAAAGUGCUCAGUCAGGCAUUAAGACAAACACUUGGUAUGGACGACCAUAUAUCAGAGCCACACAAAGAUGGGUCCUUCAGGUAGCGUCACUUCGUCCGCUUAUGGUACCGCCCGGACGACACCCAGAUGUCACCUGCUCUUCCUCGUCCUUCCCCAACGGCAAGCUCGGGAUUCAAUCAAGAAAGGCGAGCGAUUCUCUGGUCAAAUUUGUGCUGAGCUUCUUCACACUUGUUGGCCCCCAUCGCCUCCUUGGCAAAUUCGGGACUUCGUUUCACUCUUUCUUUGUUCUUUUGGCCGGUUUCGAUUUCACCAUUGCAUGAGCGGACAGUCUCGUGUAAAAACCCAACCCAACCGAACUAAAC
rnacentral:lncRNA from 1 species